CCCGGGCUUUACCUUGACGGGAACUUGCAGUCUCUUUAGACUCAUGCACCCCUAAAUUUGGCAGGGCGCGUCGCUCUGCCAUUUUGCUUUCUUUGGAAAGCGAUAGCGUCGAAAGACAACAGUGGAGCUAGUAGA
rnacentral:sRNA from 1 species